rnacentral:rRNA from 1 species
GCGUGGGUGAAGAAGGUCUUCGGAUUGUAAAGCCCUUUCGACGGGGACGAUGAUGACGGUACCCGUAGAAGAAGCCCCGGCUAACUUCGUGCCAGCAGCCGCGGUAAUACGAAGGGGGCUAGCGUUGCUCGGAAUGACUGGGCGUAAAGGGCGCGUAGGCGGUUCACGCAGUCAGAUGUGAAAUUCCUGGGCUCAACCUGGGGGCUGCAUUUGAUACGCGUGGACUGGAGUGGGGAAGAGGGUCGUGGAAUUCCCAGUGUAGAGGUGAAAUUCGU